rnacentral:rRNA from 1 species
GAUGAACGCUGGCGGCGUGCCUAAUACAUGCAAGUCGAGCGAAUGGAUUAAGAGCUUGCUCUUAUGAAGUUAGCGGCGGACGGGUGAGUAACACGUGGGUAACCUGCACAUAAGACUGGGAUAACUCCGGGAAACCGGGGCUAAUACCGGAUAAUAUUUUGAACUGCAUGGUUCAAAAUUGAAAGGCGGCUUAGGCUGUCACUGAUGGCUGGACCCGCGUCGCAUUAUCUAGUUGGUGGGGUAACGGCUCACCAAGGCAACGAUGCGUAGCCGACCUGAGAGGGUGCUCGGCCACACCGGGACUGAGACACGGCCCAGACUCCUACGGGAGGCAGCAGUAGGGAAUCUUCCGCAAUGGACGAAAGUCUGACGGAGCAACGCCGCUUGAGUGAUGAAGGCUUUCGGGUCGUAAAACUCUGUUGCUAGGGAAGAACAAGUGCUAGUUGAAUAAGCUGGCACCUUGACGGUACCUAACCAGAAAGCCACGGCUAACUACGUGCCAGCAGCCGCAGUAA